GAUGGAGUAAAGGAAUGGAGGAGUGACCAAAAAGGGUGAAGGGGAUGGAAGCAACCAGAUGGAGGAGGAGGAGCAGGAGUGCGGCUCAGGUGAGGAUGGAGAGAUCUCCGAGCUUGGCAUCAAAAUCAUCAUGCAGAAGAGAAGCCUGGAGAUUUAAAAGAGCUUUCAGAGAUCACGAGGAUGAGACUUCUUUAGUUGUCACAACAGCAUGACAACUGGGUUGCACUGCUAUCGCAUCAAACAUCAUCCCAUUCUUGGAUCAGGAGAAUGUAGAUAUGAAACCGAAUGCAAGAGAACCCACUGAUAACAGUGCAGCCACUUUGUUAGCAAGUGCAGUGAGAGCUCCCCCUCCUGUUUUUGACCUGCUUUAAUCAAGCCUCACUGUCAAAUCCACAAGGCUUAAGAAACCACAGCAGAUAAGAGAUGGGAU